AAGGAAAGAUUAAGAAGAAGGCUGAGUUCUAAUGUGGUUAGCAGUUAAGUGGUCUAUUUGGUUGAUAAAAAAUGAAACUUUAUUUAAGGGAAGAGAUAAAGGAGUUAGAGAAAUUGGUUAAUUAUCAAAAUCACUUUCGUGGUACUUGCUUUGGAUCAAGAUAUAAGGGUAACGUGGGUUGUAGUAGGGAAGAUGGGUUUUUGGAUCCUUUAUGAUGUAUUUGUUAGUUUAGUUACAUUUUGUUUUGUAAUUAUAUCUCUUUUAUAUUAGGUUGAGUACUCGUUGUACUCAAAUUUAAUAUAGUUCUCUUGCUUAUUAAAAAAA
rnacentral:lncRNA from 1 species